GUGCACCAGUCGCGAAACCUCCACAAUUUGCGCAAGCAUGAUGGGGCCACUCCGAGUGCCAUCCGCUGAGGAUGGCUUUUCUCUGCUGUAAGAAGGCAGAGGAAUAAGGAGAGGGCAAGUCUGGUGUCAGCCGCCGCGGUAAUACCAGCUCUCCGAGUGGUAGGGAUGAUUAUUGGGCUUAAAGCGUCCGUAGCUGGCCUUUCAAGUCUCUUGUUAAAUCCAGCGAUUCAAUCGUUGGACUGCGGGAGAUACUGUUAGGCUAGGGGGCGGGAGAAGCCGACGGUAUUUCCGGGGUAGGGGUAAAAUCCUAUAAUCCCGGGAAGACCACCAGUGGCGUAGGCGGUCGGCUAGCACGCGCUCGACAGUGAGGGACGAAAGCUGGGGUAGCGAACCGGAUUAGAUACCCCCGUAGUCC
rnacentral:rRNA from 1 species